rnacentral:misc_RNA from 1 species
GAUGAAGAACGUAGCGAGAUGCGAUACGUAAUGUGAAUUGCAGAAUUCAGUGAAUCAUCGAAUCUUUGAACGCAUAUUGCGCUCUCUGGUAUUCCGGAGAGCAUGCUUGUUUGAGUAUCAGUAAACACCUCAACUUCCAUAUCUUUUUUGAAAUGGGAGUUGGACUUGAGUGAUCCCAACGCUUUUCCUCACCGAAAAGUGGCGGGUUACUUGAAAUGCAGGUGCAGCUGGACUUUUCUCUGAGCUAUAAGCAUAUCUAUUUAGUCUGCCUAAAAAACAGAUUAUUACCUUUGCUGCAGCUAACAUAAAGGAGAUUAGUUCUUGUGCUGACUGAUGCAGGAUUCACAAAGACGGCUUCGGCCGACUUUGUAAACUCGAUCUCAAAUCAAGUAAGACUACCCGCUGAACUUAAGCAUAUCAAUAAGCGGAGGA